rnacentral:rRNA from 1 species
AAUGGGCGGAAGCCUGAUCCAGCAACGCCGCGUGAGGGAUGACGGCCUUCGGGUUGUAAACCUCUUUCAGUACUGACGAAGCGUGAGUGACGGUAGGUACAGAAGAAGCACCGGCCAACUACGUGCCAGCAGCCGCGGUAAUACGUAGGGUGCGAGCGUUGUCCGGAAUUAUUGGGCGUAAAGGGCUCGUAGGCGGUUUGUCGCGUCGGGAGUGAAAACACCGGGCUUAACUCGGUGCUUGCUUUCGAUACGGGCAGACUAGAGGCAUGCAGGGGAGAACGGAAUUCCUGGUGUAGCGGUGAAAUGCGCAGAUAUCAGGAGGAACACCGGUGGCGAAGGCGGUUCUCUGGGCAUGUCCUGACGCUGAGGAGCGAAAGUGUGGGGAGCGAA